GGAAGGUCCCCCACACUGGCACUGAGAUACGGGCCAGACUCCUACGGGAGGCAGCAGUAGGGAAUAUUGGUCAAUGGGCGCAAGCCUGAACCAGCCAUGCCGCGUGCAGGAUGAAAGCUCUCUGAGUUGUAAACUGCUUUUGUACAGGAGCAAAACAAUCCCUGCGGGGAUUCUUGAGCGUACUGUAAGAAUAAGCACCGGCUAAUUCCGUGCCAGCAGCCGCGGUAAUACGGAAGGUGCAAGCGUUAUCCGGUUUUAUUGGGUUUAAAGGGUGCGUAGGCGGCUUAUUAAGUCAGUUGUGAAAUCCUAGUGCUUAACGCUAGAACUGCAAUUGAUACUAUUAGGCUUGAGUUAAGAAUAGGUAAGUAGAAUUUAUGGUGUAGUAGUGAAAUGCUUAGAUAUCAUAAGGAAUACCAAUAGCGUAGGCAGCUUACUGGUCUUUAACUGACGCUGAGGCACGAAAGCGUGGGGAGCAAACAGGAUUAGAUACCCUGGUAGUCCACGCCGUAAACGAUGAUCACUCGAUAUACAUAAAUCUUAUGUGUGUCUAAGCGAAAGCGUUAAGUGAUCCACCUGGGGAGUAUACUCGCAAGGGUGAAACUCAAAGGAAUUGACGGGGGUCCGCACAAGCGGUGGAGUAUGUGGUUUAAUUCGAUAAUACGCGAGGAACCUUACCUGGGCUAGAAUGUAUUUUGCUACUUUGAGAAAUUAAGGGUUCCUUCGGGACAAAAUACAAGGUGCUGCAUGGCUGUCGUCAGCUCGUGCCGUGAGGUGUUGGGUUAAGUCCUAUAACGAGCGAAACCCUUUUACUUAAUUGUCAGCACAUAACGGUGGGAACUUUAAGUA
rnacentral:rRNA from 1 species